rnacentral:lncRNA from 1 species
AUAAAAACGACUUUUUAAAUGCUAAAACACAUUUCAAGGCAUAAACCAAAAAUAACAACAUCAAUUGAUCCAUGAGAAGAGAUCUACUGCAUGUCUAUAUAUCUACCAAUGCAGAAACCACGAAAUUGUUUACAGGUUUGACACCAUCUUCUUGCUUAUUGACUUCCAAGCACAUAGUGUAUGCACUGGUCGUCUCGUCUCUCUUGGCCUUCGUGCUCGAUUCACUGUCCAUUCACAGAGAAUGCAAAUCAUUCAUUAGUAAUAGUCCUUGAAUGCAUAUCUCCUUCACUAGCAUAUGAAGAGAAGUCAUCAUCUCAAUCCCUUUCUUGUAACUCUCCAAUUUUCUCGACAGCUUCAUUUAAAUCCCACUUUCUCCACAUCCCAUUCACGGCAACGCAUCCCAAUCUUCAGAAGCCUCAUCAUCCGAACUUCCUCUUUUCGGGUCGGAUUCAUUUCUUUAUCAAACACCUCACCAAUCUACUCUUCUCUUACAAUAGAUUUAAUCCAUGCAGCCAAAUCAGCGUCAUCUCCUCUCCCUUGUUUCAGAUAAUUCGUCGAAAAUCUGUCGGUAAGCAACUCUAUUAUCCAAAUCCCAAGAUUCCACACAUCGGUCAUUCUGGUUAAACUUUCACUUUUUGUAGACUCUGGUGAUUUAUAGGCUACCAUAAACUAUUGAGCAUGCUCUUUGUUGAUCACUGAUGCAAGGGCAUAAUCAGCGAGAAAGGGUUCACAUGUGGUGUUUAGCAGAACAUUGGGUGACUUUAGAUGGCCAUGAGGAGGGUUUGGGUAGGGAGCUCUUUGUAAAG